rnacentral:rRNA from 1 species
CUACGGGGGGCACCAGUGGGGAAUCUUCCGCAAUGGGCGCAAGCCUGACGGAGCAACGCCGCGUGAGUGAAGAAGGCCUUCGGGUCGUAAAGCUCUGUCUUUAGGGAAGAAAAACUAUGGUGAAAAUAUUGCCAUAGUCUGACGGUACCUGAGGAGGAAGCUCCGGCUAACUACGUGCCAGCAGCCGCGGUAAUACGUAGGGAGCGAGCGUUGUCCGGAAUUACUGGGCGUAAAGGGCGUGUAGGCGGGAAUUUAAGUAAGGUGUGAAAACUCCGGGCUCAACUUGGAGACUGCACUUUAAACUGGAUUUCUUGAGGGCAGGAGAGGAAAGUGGAAUUCCUAGUGUAGCGGUGAAAUGCGUAGAUAUUAGGAGGAACAUCAGUGGCGAAGGCGACUUUCUGGACUGCACCUGACGCUGAGGCGCGAAAGCAUGGGUAGCGAACAGGAUUAGAUACCCUAGUAGUC